AAGUACCUAGAAGAUGGUCAAAUAUAAAACCGACUAAUGGUGAAUAUAGGGAAUCUAAUUAGCAGUGGUGUUGAAAACUAGCUAGCCUAGGCUCCUAAAGCUGUCUAUGUGAUGCCCACCUUGCGUGCGCGCGGGUUUUUAUCACUGCGGCUGUCUUCUAGGUUUUAU
rnacentral:other from 3 species